rnacentral:rRNA from 1 species
UAUUGUACUAGUUGUAACAUUUUUUUAUCAUAAGCAUAAUUUGGUUUAGUAUUGGUGAAAAAAAAAUUUUGUUUUAGUAAGUACCGAGAGGGAAUAGAAUUUAUAUCUAAUUAGCUGAAUUAAAUAUUCUUACCUUGUGUAUCAUGGGCUGUCUAUUUUUUUGUAAAUAAAAUAUUUCCGAAAAUAAGUGGGCUAUUUUUUUCUUGUUAGGAACUAUUAUUUUGAUUGUUUAAUAAAUCAUGUAAGAGUGAAAAAUAGCGAUGAGAUGUCAUUCGCACUUGUUGAUAGCUGGUUUCUUUCUAAAAAUGUUUUAGCAUUGGUCUUUUAAAAGUAGGUCUGAUUGGCUUUGGGGUAAGCUAAGGUCAAAAUUUAAUUUGCGGUUUACGUUAACGGUUUUCUUUUGUUAGGCUUAUUAAUUGUCAUCGUUCAGAUCCUGUUAUAAGGUUUUUAUGGUUUUUGUAAAAUUUUGGUUUAUGCAAUUUUAUUUAGUAGGAAUUAGAGAGUAACAAUUUUCUUUUUUUUAAAAUGGUAGUAUGAUUAUAAAUUGUUGUUGGUGAGGUACUUUUUUUUAAAAAUAAAUAAAGGAACUCGGCAAAUCAGGACAACGACUGUAUAACAAAGACAUAGCUUUUUGUAUUUAUUUAAGGUGAUCUCUGCCCGGUGACCGUAGGGUUUAACGGCCGCUUAAAUGGUGCUAAGGUAGCGUAAUUAUUUGUCUCUUCAUUGGAGGCUGUAUGAAUGGAAUUACGAGGUCCUUCUGUCUCUGUUUAUUAAUUAAAAAUUGGUUUUUAGGUGAAAAAUCCUAAAUAUUUACGAAAGACGAGAAGACCCUAUAGAGUUUUAAUACAAUAUUUAUCUGAAGACUUGGAGGGGUUACAGCAAGGUCCUAGGAUAGGUAUAUAUUUUUAUUGGGGCAAUAUGGGAACAAAAUAAAAUUCCCAUUAUAACGUUUCAUGUUGGUGAAUGGUGUUAAGAUCCUAAAAUGGAAUUAAGAUAAACUACCUUAGGGAUAACAGCGUAAUUUUGUUGGAGAGCACUUAUCGAAGACAAAGUUUGCGACCUCGAUGUUGGACUAAGGUUUCCUUAAGGUUGUAGUAGCUUUAGAUUGGUGGGCCUGUUCGGCUUUUAAAACCUUACAUGAUCUGAGUUCAGGUCGGCGUGAGCUAGUCCGUUUUCUAUCUUCGUUUAUUUGUAUAUUAUUCUUUUUAUAUUACGAAAGGAACUGGAAAGAAAAUUUUAUUUAUUUUUUGAAAAUUAGUUUAUUUGUUUUUAUUAAUCUAAGUCUCAGGGGUGUUAGUUUUACGGUUUUAUCUGUGAGGUGGUAGCUGGGC